CAAUAGAACAAGAGGAAAUGGACUCAGGUUGUGCCAGGGGAGGUUUGGAAUGGAUAUUAGGAAAAAUUUCUUCAGCAAAGGGUGAAUGCGAAGCACUUGAACAGGCUUCCCAGGAAAGUCAUGGAAAUGAAAGCUAAGCAGCACAAGGCUUCCAGCACUGAGAACAGCUGUGCACUGAGCUGCAUAGAUCAAGCAAGCUACUGUAUUUAUGACAGUGCUCUUCUUUUCUCUGUUGCCAAAAGAGUGGUCAGAUGAAGCACAGCAAUUUGCACUGCUGACAUCUAUUAUCACAGUAUUUUUAUAUUUUUGGCCACACUCUGAAAAUAAAUUCAUCUGCCCAAUA